rnacentral:rRNA from 1 species
UACGAAGGGGGGCUAGCGUUGCUCGGAAUCACUGGGCGUAAAGGGUGCGUAGGCGGGUCUUUAAGUCAGGGGUGAAAUCCUGGAGCUCAACUCCAGAACUGCCUUUGAUACUGAAGAUCUUGAGUUCGGGAGAGGUGAGUGGAACUGCGAGUGUAGAGGUGAAAUUCGUAGAUAUUCGCAAGAACACCAGUGGCGAAGGCGGCUCACUGGCCCGAUACUGACGCUGAGGCACGAAAGCGUGGGGGGCAAACAGGAGUUAGA